UGGAAAUGCAGAAAUCACCCAUCUUCUGAGUCGCUCACGCUGGGAGCUGUAGACCGGAGCUGUUCCUAUUCGGCCAUCUUGGCUCCUCCCCUGACAUGAAGAGCACAAAAUUUUAAUACUCUUGCAGACAAUUCUGUUGAAUCUGCAUGAUUAUGGCAGAAUUUGUUACAAGACAAAAACUGAAAAAAACUUCCAAGUUUACAAAUAUUUUGGAAAUGUAAGGAGAUAGAUAAGAUUCGAAAGUUACAAUUUCUAUUGAAAACGUCAGUGCUCUAAAUUAUGGCACACAAGGCUAUCAUGCCACUUUAAAGAGAUGACUAACUAUCAAUUAUUUGGUACUACUUCCCUCCUUUUAAGUCUGGAGGAGCUUGUAACAGCUUCAACCAAAAGAAUACACAUGAAAUAAUGCUAAGUGACUUUCAAAACCAAGCCAAAAGUAUAUAUGCAACUCCUGCCUUUUUCUCUGGAACUCUUCUUCUUACAUUGUGAGUCUCCAGGCAAAAUUUUCAACUACUUUGAAGCCACCAUGCUGGUGCCCUGGUGAAUGCCACUCUCCAGCCAUCUCCUUUAAUACAAGAACUCAAUUAAAACAUGGUCAGCACAUUCACAUGCCAGACACCACUAAGUACCACUGUCAAUGUCAUGUGGAGUAGAAGAAUCAGAUUUCGAGUCCUGAUGAAUUUCUGAAUCACAGAACAAUUAACACGUAGUAAAUAGUUGUUACUUAAGGCUCUAAAUUUAGAUAAGUUGUAAUGCAGCAGCAAUAGGUAACUGGGAUAGGUACAUUUUUAGAAUUUGCCCUACACACAUUCACAAUAUGACCCAAAAAUUAUUUUCACUUGUCAAAUUGAGGCUGAAAGUAAUGAACUUCAUAAUGAGGCAAUUGCACAUACAAUUGGAAAGAAGUUCCUUCAUUUUAGUUAAAAGGUAACAAAGGUAUUACUCAGUGAACCCAUUACAAGUGCAAUUACUUGCAGGCUAAUUUCUGCCCCUAUGGCUAAUUACAAGCAGAAGGAUUUCAGUGAAAAAUUGAAUGCCUACCAGAAUCUCCUUAGAAACACAUUUCUCGAUUACUCUGUACAGGUUUCUGGUGACCUAUGGUCAUUAAGCAUCACAGGACAUUACUCAGAGUGGAAGUUAUACUCCUGAUAGAUACUCUGUCUAACCUAAAAUUAUAC
rnacentral:lncRNA from 10 species